CGCCUGGAGUUAGUUUCCCGCUGCUGCUGAAACGCGGAGACGAUACCGUGUUUUGACGGUUAUGCUUUCCUAGACUGCGUCCGCGCAAAUUGGAACCCAUCACUCCGCUGCUCCGUGUAUUUUUUUCUCACGCCAUACGUGUUCCUGUUCCGCUUUUACAAGCCCCCCCCCCCCCCCCCACCGAUGCCAUCAGUACUUUUUUUCGCAUCUCAUCUGAUCGAGAGCCUUACAAAGUAGUAGGAGCAGAAGUGCGGUUAAAACCCGGGUGUAAGAGAUAUGAUCCGUGAGCACAGUCUUGCGAAAUAGUGCGAUUAUCUGGACCGAAUUUUACAUAGAUACGCCAGGUCGCUUUCCGGAGGGGAAAACGGGUUAGGAGAAGUUUUGAAAUCAGGCAGUCAUACAUUUUUCCUGUCAAACAUUUGAAGUAGAGAAAAACUAUUUUGAACGUGAAAACAGUGCUUUAUAACACACUUUAGUGCCAAAUUUGGAUGGCUAAGCUAUACAGACAUGAUUUUUUAAAUCAAUAAUCAUGUACUUUAUAACCAAGCACUUAAGUAAUAUUGAGUAUCAUGGAGGAAUAAAACCUUAGAAUAAACCUUUUUUUCUCAGUUUAGUUUUUAUGUGACUUGGUGAGGAUCUAUUAAACCCACGUUCAGACCACUUGAACUGCUUUGACCAGAAUCGUCCUGAGUACCUUUAUAAGCUCAGCCUACACAGCCUACUAGCAAAAAAUGUAGAAUUGUUAAAACAGUAUCUGUCACCAGCAGAUCACGAGUAUUUGCAGAAUGGAUGGAGAAACUACUUUGAAAUGGAAAAAAUUAAAACUCAUAGAGAUCGAAAUGAUGCUUUAAUUAGAACAAAAAAAUUUCAGGCACUUGUUCAACCUAUCUCCUGGAAAGCACAGCGGAAAUCUCAAAACUUUGUUAUAAAACUUUCUCAAUCCUCCAAACCCAUGAUAUGAAGGUCUACAUUGAGGAAAAUCUCCAAGAAAUGACAUCAGAACCAGGAAGAGAGUUCUUGAGAAUUUUCCAGAAGUUAAGGGGACUUCCUACUCAAAAAACCGAGAGCGGGUCUAAAUUCAAAUCAAAUCGCAGGCAGAAUGAUCAGGAACAACUGGACCUUGCCAGAAAAGCUGAGGAAGAGCUCGCUGAAGUCCAUGUAAAAUACGAGGAUCAGAAAACUCAGUGCGAACAGGCACUGGAAGAGAAGCGAAAGCUUAUUGCCGAUUACAGGGUAAAAUUAGAAGCUAUUAGACAGAGUGUAUCCAGGAACAUUGGAAAAAUAAUAGAAGUAUCUGAAGAGAAAAUUGCAUUUGGUAUUCGAUCCAGCAGACAAAGACAGGAAAACAUGUUGAAAACUUUGGCCGCCACAGAGGAGAAGCUGAAAGGUCUUCAAGAGUUCAACAAGGAAAGGGAAGAGGCAUUACACGCGAUAAGAAAAAAUUCUGAGACGGAACUGAAAUCCCUCAUAGACAAGUAUGAUGAAGAUAUGAACAGGAAACAAUGCGAAUUAGAGAACCUGAUGGCACAAUUUGAAAAGGAAAAAGUUAUGUACAUUGAGUUGAAGAAAAACUUUGAGUCACAAAAUGAGACGUACGUCAAGUUGAUGGCAGAAAAAAGAGACUAUGAGCAGAUGCUCUGGGAUCAGAGAUUACUGGAAGUUAGACAAAAAUUUGCAGCUCGGAAAAUACAGCGAUGUGUACGCAAUUACCUGGCUAAACUCAAAACUAGAGGAAAAAAAUAUGGGAACAGAAAGAAGGGUAAAAAAGGAGCUAAAAAAUAA
rnacentral:lncRNA from 1 species